rnacentral:rRNA from 1 species
GUCGAGCGGACAGAUGGGAGCUUGCUCCCUGAUGUUAGCGGCGGACGGGUGAGUAACACGUGGGUAACCUGCCUGUAAGACUGGGAUAACUCCGGGAAACCGGGGCUAAUACCGGAUGGUUGUUUGAACCGCAUGGUUCAAACAUAAAAGGUGGCUUCGGCUACCACUUACAGAUGGACCCGCGGCGCAUUAGCUAGUUGGUGAGGUAACGGCUCACCAAGGCAACGAUGCGUAGCCGACCUGAGAGGGUGAUCGGCCACACUGGGACUGAGACACGGCCCAGACUCCUACGGGAGGCAGCAGUAGGGAAUCUUCCGCAAUGGACGAAAGUCUGACGGAGCAACGCCGCGUGAGUGAUGAAGGUUUUCGGAUCGUAAAGCUCUGUUGUUAGGGAAGAACAAGUACCGUUCGAAUAGGGCGGUACCUUGACGGUACCUAACCAGAAAGCCACGGCUAACUACGUGCCAGCAGCCGCGGUAAUACGUAGGUGGCAAGCGUUGUCCGGAAUUAUUGGGCGUAAAGGGCUCGCAGGCGGUUUCUUAAGUCUGAUGUGAAAGCCCCCGGCUCAACCGGGGAGGGUCAUUGGAAACUGGGGAACUUGAGUGCAGAAGAGGAGAGUGGAAUUCCACGUGUAGCGGUGAAAUGCGUAGAGAUGUGGAGGAACACCAGUGGCGAAGGCGACUCUCUGGUCUGUAACUGACGCUGAGGAGCGAAAGCGUGGGGAGCGAACAGGAUUAGAUACCCUGGUAGUCCACGCCGU